GGAUUCGUUUAUGGUUUAUGAUUGUUUUUGUGUGGUCUUCUCUCCACUGUUGCUGGCUGAUCUUUGAUUCCGAAUCCCCGAAUGGGGUAGUUGAUGUGUGCGUCGUUCUGUUGACGAUGUGCCGGAGUCUUGGGGUCAGACUGUAACUUGAUCGUGGGCACUUGUCAGUAGUAGUUGAAAAAAUAGCUUUUUCUUUUCUUUUCUUUUUUUCUGUUUUUUUUGGGCUGUCGUGGGUACGCUACAUGUAUCUAGAGAUGAAAUGUGGUUGCUAUGGUCGAGCUCGAGCCCACUGGAGCAUUUCAGUUCUACGCUUAACACGUUCCACCUGUAGUUUGCGGACCAUUUCGCUACGCCCUCUGCUGAUGCAAAUUGCCUUGUGCAAGUGGUGCCCGCAUUUGGCUUCCCGUUCCCAUGCCGAUAUUGCUUUCCUGGCCGUGUGGUGGCCUCUUUUGCCCCCACUUUCAUUUAUAUCACACUUCCCGAACUUCACAGCUCAAGAGAUCGAAACAGACGAUGACGGAGUGAAAAGCCAUGAACUGCUGAAUCAGUUGAGCAUUCGAGCUCAAUUUUUGUCGCAAGUUUUCUGAGGCAGAAUCCUGCCUUGCUAGUGACAGAGUUCGUCACAAUACUCUUCCACAGUUCAUUUCGUCCUAGUUCAAUUGAGUCGCACCCAAUCACAUUAUGACACAUCGCGUUUCAACGACUUGCGGAUCGGACUUAAAGAGCACCUUUUGAGAAGCUAAUUUUAGAGUAAUGAUCGGCUGUGGGUUAUUUUAAAACGAAUGAACAGUUCCCUCAUUUAGCUCUCGCGUGCGAACCUUAUUUGGCGGGCUUAAGCUCACCCGCAGCGGGUCUUGUAGUCUGUGAGCUUCUUUAGACAUUGCAGAUACACGCGUGGGUCUUUUUGCAAGGUAUCUCGUGACCUACAUUUCUCCUCGUGGCGAGGCAUGGGUGCGUCGACCGAAUCAUGCCGUCGAGGUCGUUUUGCGGAAUCGAGUGAGAUGUACGCGGGCACUCGAUUAGGCCGUUACCCGUGGUCCGUAUCCUGCAAGGCUACAUGAAGUGGCCGAUCGGGGAACUCAUAAUAACAAUGCGUGAAGUGGUAGUCCCCUUAGCGCAGUGGCAGUUGAGAUCUUCUUGAGCUGUGUGUAGGUUGCUGUCUUCGAACAACAGCCCAAGAAGCUGCAAUGGUGCUCUCAUUUAGACGUAAGCUUCGUGCUCAUCGACUUUGCAUCCUAACAAGUUUUCACGUCUUUGGCUUUGGUUCCUCAGGGAUCCACAUCGGUUAGCAAUGUCUCGGGUUUUAGACAUCCACCGUGGUAGCGAGUGAUUUCUCAGAAUGCGUGCACGAUCGACGUUUCUCAAGAUUGAUCGAAUUGGUGCAAGAUGAGCCGCAAGCUUGUGGGCGGCUUCCACCGCACGUUGCGAAGAUUACCGAUCGUGUUUGCGUUUCUGGGCGCACUUAUGCUCGCGGGGUUCAGCUUUUACAGUAGUAACAGGUUGCAUUCGCGCCAGGGACAAGUGCUGCGAGUGACUGACACACAUGGCCUCUCGCAAAUUUACGAGCCUGAAACUGUCAAGUUCCCCGCGACCAAGAGAUAUCCCGCGACCCUCCCGGAGCUACCUACCGCAGUGCCGGUCUCGUCAGGGGAUUCCGAGAGGUCGUUGCGGGAGCUGGUGAGAGACGCCGUGGACCGAGGCUUAGUGGUAAUCGUGAACGGUACCGACACUGACGCGAGGAACAUUAUUGCCGAUCACUCGCAAGGUGCGCGGCUGGACAUCAGCAGCGCCUUAGACGGACCCACCGGCGAGAUAUUAACUGAAGUUAUUGAGGAGCUCCAGCAAAUGGAGGAGAUAAAGCUUGAGGUGGCGGAGCUCAAGCUCAAGCUCAAGGGAUACAAGGGUGAAGGGAGGAAAAAGGAUUGCCCGGAUUUGCAUUCCAAGACUGCGGAGAUGACGCCUGUUAUGGCGCCACGGCAAGGUGAUUACAAGUUUCGAGUAUCUGGGCGGCCUCUUCACCCUCUUAUGAGCUUCAGCGCAUUUCGGUUUGGUCUUGAUGAGUUCACGGCAGUGGGCCUCGCAGCUCCCAGCCUCCUUCCUCCGUCGUUUUUUGAAGCGCAAGAGGAUUCUUGCAGUUGGGUAGAGUGGGAUGCUGCUUCUGAAACGGGCUUUUCCUCGCCUAUGGAGAGGAAGAAAGAUGGUCGUGGGGUGCAGUAUGGCCAGAAACGGACCAUCUUGUUAAAGGAUGGCGAUUCUCCAUACGUUGUGAUUGUUGUCAAGUGCAAAUUUGGGGAUCCUGCCGGCUCAAAUGGCUAUGGCGGCCAUCUCUUUAUGAACUCAUCGGCGGGUGAGUACAUUCCUCUUUUGAGUGAGCCUCCGGAGUCCAUCGAUAAGAUCCAGUUCGAAGGGCCUUUGGAUCGCCGUUUCGCUGUGUGUACUCCUCCCAUUUGGGGGAAACUUAACGCAGAUCACCUCAAGGAAUGGUUGGUGUACCAUCACCAUCUCCUCGGAUCAGAGCGCAUCCAUUACUUCUUCUACGCUGGAGUAGCGCUUGACGAGCCGACGCGCCGCGUGUUGCAACCCCUCCUCGACCAACACAUGGCCACCGUGGUCGACUUGAGCGCGGACAUGGACCUCGUCGGCGGACCAUCUCAGUUUCCGAGCACUCACUUGUCGCGCAACGACUGCGUGCAAAGAUCACGUUUCUUCGCAGACUGGGCAGUACUCUGGGACUUCCACGAGUUCCUUCAGACGUUCUCCCCGCACCACCUGCUUGACGUUGUACGCGAUAACAGCGACAAGCCUUUCAUUGCCUUCGGCAACCAGCGGUGGAGCUCGGCAUACUGUGCCACUGCCGACAACACCACCGACCAGUGGACCACGGAUAGAAUGAUAUUUCGUCUCGCAUUGCCGAACUGUGGCAACAGGAACCACCCCGCGCCUUGUCCAGGCGGAGAAGGUGAGCGCAGGCACAUUGUCAGUCCGAGGAAAGUCUACGCCGUGCACCACCAGUUUGUAAUGGAUCCGCCGUGGGGCGGUGCCGAUGUCUCCACGGAGCAAGCCCGAGUAAACCAGUUCCUCGGCACUUUCGUCUCGUCCAAACCUGGCGAGGAGGUUUGUACGAUUGUAAAAGAUCCCGGAGAUGUCAAUUCGACGAUUCCAGUCGAUGGCUACUGGUUCAAGGACACGAGCUUUGCAUCCUCGUUGGCACCUGCUAAGGCUUCUGCCCGAAGCUCCUCUUUCUGGAAGAAGCGAGGCGCGGGAGGAUACCAAGAGCAAAACUCCACAGCAGAUAUCAGAUGACAUCCAGUAUCACAUCGCUUUUGGCUCAAUUCUGCACACAGCUGCAUCUCCGUGCAGAUAGAUAGCGAAGCAUUGGGAUCUGCGUGGCACCCAAGGCACCCGCAUUUCUUCUCGUCUCACUUGAAUUGAAUGACGAAGCAUGUGGAACAUCACGCCAUCGUCAUUAGGGCUUUCGCUGUGGCGCAUUGGAGCGUGGUAUGUUUUGCAAGCGUCACAGACCCCGACUUUCAGUGGAGAAACGGCACUCGAUUUUGGCAAUUAAUGGCCGGUAAGAUUUCGCUGAAUCUGUAGAGCGUACACUCUACCAGGGGCUGUCAGCUCCUGAACCCCACCUUUCUGCAGCAAUAUGGGGGACUGAUCAUGAUGCUGUGCCAAGGCGUGGUGCACAAGACAAGGCUCCUGAAUCAACGCAGUUUCCAACACACCCUCUCUCUCUGACUCCCAUCAACUAACUGGGUUCUAGAAACCCAGCUUUCCCAACGUCGACACAGUCAGCAAUCCCCACAAGACCAGGCUCUCGAUUCCACAGUUAUCGAUCCCCACAACGUCUGCUCUCCUCAUACCUCUUCUGUUGCAAUGUCUACCAUUGGGUAUAGCAGCAGAUUGUUUACGACCCUUGAUGCUGGUCCCAAUGGUGUCGGUCUGCACACAGCUGGGCAUCGCCGUGUAAUAAAGAAAUCUCGAUUCCUACAAGAUAUACGAUUUCUUCGAGCAGGUUAGAGAUUGCUGCUUCCCGGUUUCCACGCCGCAGAUCUGGCUUCACCUUGUUGCAGAAUCUUGCAGUCGCCAUGCCUUGGCAGCGUUUGCUUCGGUGUCAGAAACACUGUCACUCCCCAUCUCAUACAAACAAAUUGAUUUGUAGGAUUGCCCACUUUGUAGAAUCACAACACAAUUUCAUCGAUUACCCUAAAACACGAGCUCAUCGACAACGAUGUUGACAAUAUUAUUUACAAAACCAAGCCUGUCACAUUGAGUGUGUAUUUCAUAUAUGUUUUGAUUUCAUGCUUUUGCAGUG